UAAUACUCUAAAAUAAAAGACCAAACAAGUACCAAUUUGCCCUCAUGUCUUUGGUUGGGGCGACCCCGGGGAAUAACAAAACCCCCGUGAAGAAUGAGAAAACUACUUUCUUACAAACAAGACCCACCAGUCUAGCUAACAGAACACCUGACUAAAACAAAUAAUUAGGAUCCGGCCCACGCCGAUUAAUGAACCAAGUUACCCCAGGGAUAACAGCGCAAUCCUCUUUUAGAGCCCCUAUCGACAAGAGGGUUUACGACCUCGAUGUUGGUUCAGGACUUCCCGAUGGUGCAGCCGCUAUCAAAGGUUCGUUUGUUCAACGAUUAACAGUCCUACGUGAUCU
rnacentral:rRNA from 1 species